AGCCGACUCCUUCCUUUGUCCUAGGUUCCCUCUUGUUGCUGGAUCCGAACCCUAACUCCUCUGGGUUGGGUUGUGGUCAGCCUACCCGACUGCUUCUCCGGAUCUUGGCAGUAAGUUCUAUAGGAUUUGAGCAGUGUUGAGGCAUCAGGGAAUAUGGGUAAGACAUUGUUGGAGAAAGCCCUAAUCGCUGUGAUCUUCCUUU